GGGCUAUUAGCUCAGGUGGUUAGAGCGCACCCCCGAUAAGGUGAGGUCCCCUGGUCCGAGUCCCGGGUGGGCCCC
rnacentral:tRNA from 5 species